GCACUUCUACAUAAUGAAUUUCCAAUUAGAUCAAUUAUCACCAAAUGUGAGUCAACUCUGAUAUAUAUGUAUAUUUUACCUAUGUAAAUUAAUUUACACAUUUAACGUAAGUGUAGGUGCCAGCAUCUUGAUCAUAAUCUGAAGGUCAAAUACAGCUGUUUAUUACAUUUAAUAUGAAUAUGUACGUAAAUGUUACUACCCAAGUGAUGUGUUGUUGGGUAAGUAUAGUGAAAAUUUCUGUCUGGUUAAAUAUAUUUUAUUUUAUUCAUCAUUAAAGUCACCUCACCCAACUAGCUGGCAGCAGUAGUUAGCUAUAUUCACACAUUCCUAAUAUAGAGGAUAAUGGACAAAGAGGAGCUACAGAAAUGCCACGAAUUUAAGCACAGCAUUUCCCUUGUGUUUAAGGUGGAACUUCAAUAAACAGGAGCGUCAUUUCAGCGGAAGAGAUAAGAAAUGAGCUAACUGCCCAUUAGCGAGUCGCGCGCCCAGAGGAGCUGCAGUCGGAACAGACAGGCUGUCCAGAAGAAAGAGUAAACAAACCUGCGACAGCCUGCGCCUUCACCAAGAGGACAGAAGACAAGAGGUGCCCUUCAUCCUGCUCCUCCACCCUGCAGCGCUCCCUAUAACCACAGUGAUAUCCUCAGAUGAGGUUUCCCUGAGAAACAGACGAUCUCGUGGACAGGUGGUCUCUCUCCUGCAAGAGGAUGCAGAUUGCAGAUGCAGGCUAGAAGCUGUCAAAGCCGGAGGUAUCUUGAUGAAUCUGCUCCACAUGCAGUGCCUAUGGCCACGCAGGAGAAAUGGCCCCCCGUCCACUUCCAUCAUGUCUUUUUCCUGUGGGACAAAGCCUGUUGUACCUUCCAGGGUGAUUCGGGGUGGAUCCGGUUUCAGCCCAUGUUCUCUCCCACCCAUUUGUAAAGCCAAAGAUCAUUAGCCUCUUAGAUUACUUUCCCCUAAGCUACUUUAUGCCUAAGAGCCCACUCCUCUCCUCUCCUCUCUCCUCUGCCCUAAACAAAUUAAUAAAUACUGCGAAC
rnacentral:lncRNA from 1 species